CCCAUUGAUGUGUCUGUAUUCAAGCAAUGCAUUAGUACAGCAUAUGAUGUUGAUCUCUAUUCAAGUCAGCAAUUAUCAUUUUUCACAUAUACAUCUUUUUAUAAGUCCUAGAAUGAACAAAUCAUCAGGGCAUCAUUUCUGGAAUUUGGGCAGAAAAUGACUGAAUAUGAAAGACUGCAGUAGAAGGAAAGCUGGUACUGAGAACAUUUGUCUUCACUCCAGACUAAAGAGAAGCGGGUCUGAGGCCAGAGAUGGAGGAGUCAAUGGUCACCAAAUGCAGCGCUGCAGCCUGAAACUGUGAAGACUGAAUUCCCAAACAGCUGUGUGACUGCACAGAUGUUACGGCCAUAAAAGAAACUUCACAACUGAGAGCCCAUACCUCCAACAACCUUCAACAGGAAUCAAUGGACAUCUACGCAAGGUUUUCUUUUGUUGAGGACCGUCAGAGACUCCAGCCACACGAGCCAUGGAUUGCUCUCAACAUCACCAUCAGGACAGACAUUAUCACAGAACCAGCACCAGCAGACUGC